rnacentral:rRNA from 1 species
UACGAAGGAGGCUAGCGUUGCUCGGAAUGACUGGGCGUAAAGGGCGCGUAGGCGGAUGGCACAGUCAGAUGUGAAAUUCCCGGGCUUAACCUGGGGGCUGCAUUUGAUACGUGUUGUCUUGAGUUCGGAAGAGGGUCGUGGAAUUCCCAGUGUAGAGGUGAAAUUCGUAGAUAUUGGGAAGAACACCGGUGGCGAAGGCGGCGACCUGGUCCGGCACUGACGCUGAGGCGCGAAAGCGUGGGGAGCAAACAGG